UUUAUUUUCUAGGACUUAUAA
rnacentral:piRNA from 1 species